rnacentral:rRNA from 1 species
UGGGGAAUAUUGGACAAUGGGCGGAAGCCUGAUCCAGCCAUGCCGCGUGUGUGAAGAAGGCCUUUUGGUUGUAAAGCACUUUAAGCGAGGAGGAGGCUCUUCUAGUUAAUACCUAGGAUGAGUGGACGUUACUCGCAGAAUAAGCACCGGCUAACUCUGUGCCAGCAGCCGCGGUAAUACAGAGGGUGCGAGCGUUAAUCGGAUUUACUGGGCGUAAAGCGUGCGUAGGCGGCUGAUUAAGUCGGAUGUGAAAUCCCUGAGCUUAACUUAGGAAUUGCAUUCGAUACUGGUCAGCUAGAGUAUGGGAGAGGAUGGUAGAAUUCCAGGUGUAGCAGUGAAAUGCGUAGAGAUCUGGAGGAAUACCGAUGGCGAAGGCAGCCAUCUGGCCUAAUACUGACGCUGAGGUACGAAAGCAUGGGGAGCAAACAGG